rnacentral:lncRNA from 1 species
UUAUUAUAAUAACUUCAUGUUGCCUUGUCAUCCAUUUUGAAUGCAGGUUUAAUUUUCACUAGAAGAAGGGCUCAGUCACUCUUGACACAGUUUCUAAUUCUAUGCCACACCUAGGAUGCUCAGCCUGGUCACCAGAGAGGACUGAUUUUCUGGCUCAUGCCCUUCUUGUUCAGGAACUGCUGGAGUGCAAUGGCAAGAUCUUGGCUCAUCACAAACUCCGCCUACUGGGUUCAAGUGAUUCUCCUGCCUCAGCCUCCCAAGUAGCUGGGAUUAUAGGUGUGAGCCACUGCAUCCGUCCGAUUGUGCCUUUCUGA